rnacentral:rRNA from 1 species
UGAGUAGGUGGCGGGAUAAGUGUGUGGUGAAAGCUCGGGGCUCAACCCCGAGUCUGCCAUGCAAACUGUCUUGCUUGAGCGUAGUAGAGGCGGGUGGAAUUCCGGGUGUAGCGGUGGAAUGCGUAGAGAUCCGGAAGAACACCGGUGGCGAAGGCGGCCCGCUGGGCUACUGCUGACACUGAAUCACGACAGCGUGGGGAGCAAACA